rnacentral:lncRNA from 1 species
UUGAAUUUGACCCAAAUUUUACAAUCUUUGUAAUUCCCUACCACAUAAAUUAUUGUCGAAAGUUAGUUAUGCAGAUUGAGUUGGUUUUUAAUCUUUGAAGCACGUUUAACUUUGUGAUGGAUGGGAUAAGGUGAGGAAAGAGCUUCAAUAGCUAUUGCAGGAUAAUAUUUUGGCCUAUAUGACUAGGCAACUGAGAUGAUCUUAUUGACCUUUUGUUUCUUUCUCUGUUCAGUGCAUAUAUUUCCAUUGUACUGCUAGAGUAGCAUCGGGGUACUCUUUUCAAUAAAGUUUUUCAAGGUGGUGAAAAAUAUUGUAACGUUGAAAUCGUGAAUUUGU